rnacentral:rRNA from 1 species
AUCGAUGAAGAACGCAGCGAAAUGCGAUAAGUAAUGUGAAUUGCAGAAUUCAGUGAAUCAUCGAAUCUUUGAACGCACCUUGCGCUCCUUGGUAUUCCGAGGAGCAUGCCUGUUUGAGUGUCAUUAAAUUCUCAACCCUUUCAGCUUUUGCGAGUUGGAUUGGCUUGGAUGUGGAGGUUUGCGGGCUUCUCAGAAGUCGGCUCCUCUUAAAUGCAUUAGCGGAACCUUUGUGGACCAGCUUUGGUGUGAUAAUUAUCUACGCCAUGGCCGUGAAGCAGCUUUACAUGGGGUUCAGCUUCUAACCGUCCAUUGACUUGGACAAUUUCUGACAUUUUGACCUCAAAUCAGGUAGGACUACCCGCUGAACUUAAGCAUAUCAAUAAGCGGAGGAAAAGAAACUAACAAGGAUUCCCCUAGUAACUGCGAGUGAAGCGGGAAAAGCUCAAAUUUAAAAUCUGGCGGUCCUUGUGGCUGUCCGAGUUGUAAUCUAGAGAAGUGCUAUCCGCGCUGGACCGUGUACAAGUCUCCUGGAACGGAGCGUCAUAGAGGGUGAGAAUCCCGUCUUUGACACGGACUACCAGGGCUUUGUGAUGUGCUCUCAAAGAGUCGAGUUGUUUGGGAAUGCAGCUCUAAAUGGGUGGUAAAUUCCAUCUAAAGCUAAAUAUUGGCGAGAGACCGAUAGCGAACAAGUACCGUGAGGGAAAGAUGAAAAGAACUUUGGAAAGAGAGUUAAACAGUACGUGAAAUUGUUGAAAGGGAAACGCUUGAAGUCAGUCGCGUUGGCCGGGGAUCAACCUUGCUCUUUUGCUUGGCGUACUUUCCGGUUGACGGGUCAGCAUCAAUUUUGACCGGUGGAUAAAGGUCAGGGGAAUGUGGCAUCUUCGGAUGUGUUAUAGCCCUUGGUUGCAUACAUCGGUUGGGAUUGAGGAACUCAGCACGCCGCAAGGCCGGGUCUUUGACCACGUACGUGCUUAGGAUGCUGGCAUAAUGGCUUUAAUCGACCCGUCUUGAAACACGG